GUGGGCCCAAAGCAUAUGGGUGGGACGGCGCUCGCGCACGGGAACUCUGGUCCGUGGACCAGAUCGCUACUAGUCCAACCGAGCCAGGGAUCACUCCCCCACCUCUGUCUCCGUUCUGAGUAGGUCCUUGCGGCGGCGCUCGUUCUGCAACGGCGAGCACGGGGAAAUGGAAGACGGUGGGGUUGAGUUCCUGCUUGAUGCCAUUGACAUGUUCCCAUUACGAGAGGAAUUCGCGGACAACCCCGAGCACCCAGAUCCGGUUCCCCCGGUCUUGUUGCCAAACAGCGGAGCCGGCCUUGCCAUUUCUGCAGACUCAAAUACUGGAUCUGGUUGCGCUCAACAGCUCGGCGGUGAUGGGAAUGAUAUGGCAGGAGUUCGAGUCCGCCGUCUCGCGGAUGCAUCAUCGACGAGGUCGGACCAGUCUAAUGACAGAGUCAAUCCAGAGGCACCUCAGAGGACAAAAAAGGUUAUGGUUGGGCAGUGAGCCACCAGAUGACGAUGGACUCUAAAUUCAUGGGCUAUAGAGUUGAUUGGCUAAAGAAGUUCAUGUUCCUGGUGCAUUUCAUGGAUUGUCGGUCAUUAUAUAUCCUGGAUAUCGAGAAGAUUAUGAUGGUGCUUGACCCAACGGAGACAGAUCCAUCGGAUGAGAUGAAAAUCAAACAUGGGCCGCUAGCAAGGAAGUUUCAGCAGAAGUUAUGCACCCUAUUGAUAACACAGGUAGUAGUCCCAUAUUGAUUCGGUUUACCUACCAGAGAUGAUCC